CGAUUUUUUUUUUUUUAUUUAAAUAAUUUUCUUAUAUUUUUAAUAAAUUUGAAUUUUAUUGUACUUAAAAAUGUUAAUUAAUUGUUUUAAUAUUUUCAACACGGAUGAACGUACGCGUCAUAGGAAUUUCCUAUUCUAUGAUAGUGACGUCAUAUGGUUGCGUCAUAAACUUUUCCAAAAAAUGAAUAAUUUUUUACAUAUCCGUCUUUUCUUUCAUAUAUGCGUUCAAUAUAAAUGUUGUCGCUAAUAUAUUUAAUUAUUUUGGAUUUUGUUACAUUUUACAACUAUUUACAUUUACUAAAAAUCAAUAUUUCUCUUCGAUUUUUGAUAUCACAUUGAACGUGUUAAUUUAAUGAUUAUUGAGAUUUUCUCUUAUAACGGAUGACGUGAACGGCCAUGUCAUGGACUCUUCCAAAAAAUAUUCCAAACAAAUAACUUUCCAGUCAUGCCAAAAAGAAAAAAAAGUGAUGAUGAUGAUGUUCCUUUAUCAGAUUCUCAAUUAUCAACAUUUGGAAAGAUAAAAAAUGUCAAGAAAUUUCUAUCAGAAGAAACAAUGGUGGAUAUUUUUUUAGAUAUAGAUAGUAAUAAUAAUUCGGAUUUUGACAGAUGUUUCACAAGAAGAAAGUGAAGAAAGUAAUCAAGAAAUAUCUUUCUCUCAAUCUAUUUCACCUUGUUUUAAAUCAGGUACUUCUAUUAUGUGGCAUCCUCUUUGACCUAUUAUACCAAGCAUUUUUUUUUAUUGGAAAUCCUGGCCUUUUAACAUCUAUGCCUUCUGAAAAACCAAUAGAUUUUUUUUGCUUAUUAGCCAAUGAUAAAUUAUUUGAUUUAAUAUUAUGCGAAACAAAUAUGCAAAGGUAAAUUAUUGCAAUCCUCAACUUAUCGUAAAUCUAGAAUAAAAAGUUUUAAAGAAAUAACAAAA